AGAAGUUCUAUAUAAAGAAUUCUUCAAACGUAUCUCUUUUAAAAAUCAGUCGAAAAUUGAAUAUUAUUGAGUAUUGAAUAUCAUAGACCUCUGAAUUGUUGAGAUAUCAUGGUGUCUAAAGUAUUUGUGACAUUUGUAGUAAUAAUUAGCUUAUUGGCUUUGCAACUUUCUGCUGCACAGGAGGAACGAAAAUGCGUACAAGGUAAAUAUUAUUUUGAUGGAUGUAACAAGUGCUUCUGUGGUUACAAUGGCAUUGGGGCAUGCACUAGAAGAUUUUGUGAUCCAUCA
rnacentral:lncRNA from 1 species